GACGAACGCUGGCGGCGUGCUUAACACAUGCAAGUCGAGCGGUAAGGCCUUCGGGUACACGAGCGGCGAACGGGUGAGUAACACGUGGGUGAUCUGCCUCGUACUUCGGGAUAAGCCUGGGAAACUGGGUCUAAUACCGGAUAUGACCUUCCACUGCAUGGUGGUUGGUGGAAAGAUUGAUCGGUACGAGAUGGGCCCGCGGCCUAUCAGCUUGUUGGUGGGGUAAUGGCCUACCAAGGCGACGACGGGUAGCCGACCUGAGAGGGUGACCGGCCACACUGGGACUGAGACACGGCCCAGACUCCUACGGGAGGCAGCAGUGGGGAAUAUUGCACAAUGGGCGGAAGCCUGAUGCAGCGACGCCGCGUGCGGGAUGACGGCCUUCGGGUUGUAAACCGCUUUCGACAGGGACGAAGCGAGAGUGACGGUACCUGUAGAAGAAGGACCGGCCAACUACGUGCCAGCCGCCGCGGUAAUAC
rnacentral:rRNA from 1 species